rnacentral:lncRNA from 1 species
GCAGGAAAGAGCAUAGCUUUAAUUCCUGUUGGCUCAGUCACAUUUGCUCAACAUGACUGAAAACCCCCUUCACCUCUAGAAAUGCAAAAGUGAAUGUGGAUCUACAUUGGAAUCUUCUGCCCUUGUAGCCGGGAGCCAGGAGGGCUGGCGCUCGGGACACCUCCUCCUGGUGCGCUGCCAAGGACGGUGGCCGUGUCCUGCGGCCAGGGCGGUGGCCCCGGGCACUCGGCAUCCGUCCUGCGGCUCGCCGACCCUCCCCUCGAGACCUACUUCUGCCGGGACAGGCAAGGUAACUCGCUCUGAAAAUAGCUGGGACGGCGGCCAGCCGAGAUUAAUGCCUUCAUUAACGUCCCCGGUUUAUUUAUAGGCUUAAAAAUGCCUUGGACCUGCAAACUGAGCACAGUUGCUCCGUGGAAGGCAGGGAAUCACAGGUCUCCUGCUUCUGCCUUUCCCCUUCCUGCUAUUUCAUUCUGAUUGCUGGGACUGUAAAACCUCUGGAGCAGGCACUGUUUCCCAUUGUGAAGCUACUUUGUAAACCUUCCUAACUGAAGGGACACACACAGAUACUCUUUUUCAUUCUUUCUUUUUUUUUUUUGUCCCAAGAAUGAUGUAUUUGUCUGGUCUCCUUCCUCUACCAACUUCUUUUUGUGUGCACACUGUGUCCUGUAGCCCUCUUGGAGAAAAUUCUCUUUUUGAUGAAUUCCUGAGGCAAGGACUGAGCAGCCAUCACAGGAAUUAGUGAUUUCCUACCUUGGGUUUUAAACUGUGAGCUCUGUGGAAGGAAGACUGAGAUUCUCAUGGCUGUGGAGAGCAUGGAGAGCACUUAGGACAUGUAGAGCCCUAGUGAGAAAUGCAGAUGCAAUUAGUGAUCGUGCAGGUCUUCCAACAAAAGCAGCAGAGCUAGCCCAGGACCCAGGUCCUCCAGGAGCCUCAUGGGACUGGUGAGAAAAGAAAAAACCAUCCCAAGUGUGUUGGCCCCAGAAGAGGAGAUUUUGGCUUGUAACCUGUGGCCAUACUGCCUGGCCUGUUUCCCAGAGGUCAAUGAAAGGCUGGCAGCUUCGAAAAAAAUCACAGCUCCAUUGUGCUCCAAAGUCAUACUGAAUGAUUCAGAUGGAAAGAAAAACCCACGUCAGAAGGAACAGGGGACUCAAAGACCAGUGUCGAGGCCAGCAGACCAGGGACAUCUAUCCCACGCAGCAGACACCCUGAGAAUGUUGUACCCUGGGACAGCAGCGACAUUGUGGUUUACCCCUCUGUGGAAGACAAGUGCUGCUCCCGGUAUUGGGGUGUCCCUGAGCACCUCUGGCCCCACGGGACUGGCAUCGAUUGCCUGGGGGUGCUGGGGCAGCAGGAAAACCAUGCUGUCCUACCUGGAGGAUGCUGAUCCAGCUCCCAGCAGCUGGGGGAGAUGA